AGAAUUCGGAGGAGAAAAAGAAAAUGUUUGAUCGCAUCAGCAGUUUUUUUACCCCCAAGAAGAAGAAGAGCAAACUUCCUACAGAAUCCUCCACAGAAGCAGAUUCCCCUCUGUCUCCACGAUCACCCCAGUAUCAACAACAGGAUGGGUUUAAGACACCAACUCAAUCUCCCAAAGCCAGUCUGUUGGAUGUAAAGAAAGGAGCAGAAUGUGGAGAUAAUCUCAGUCAGACGUCCACUCCCAGCACCGCCAGUCUGGUGUCUGUGCUGGCAGGUCAAACUGAUCUGCCCUUUGCCGACAGCAGCAGCAGUGGAAAGAGCAGUGUGCGAGAGGUGUAUGUGUGCAAAAUUAGCACUGCAGAGGGGAAUUCUGAGAACGUCACUUCUUCCACUUUUGAGAGCAGCACUUUACCCAAUACUGGCUCCAGCUUCGCUUUAGGUUUUGCUGAUUCAGUUGUGGAGGAGGUGAGCAAGAGGCUGCAGGUACAUCUGGAUGAACACAUCCACACAGAGGAACAAAAAGGGGAGAAAAGUGUCCAACGACUCAAUCAAAUUACAGUUACAAGCCCUUUGUCACCCCCUAAGUCUCCCAAUCUCACAUCCAUCAGUUUAGCAACAAAGAAGAGCUCAGUGAAGAUAGGAGAGAAUGGACACAGCACAAGUCUGUCAGGAAUCACUUUGGGAAGUCAGUCGUCCACGCCUCACCUCAUCAGCACACGGCAGACCCUGGCACAUGUGCCAAUAGAAAGCUCUAAAGAAGUUCAACAAACUGAGACAGCCAUAAAGGAACGUGCUGCAGUGAGCUCUUCACACAAGAAGGAUGAGCCAGCCAGGACAGAGUCCCCUGUGCUUGUCAAAGCCAUAUGGGUGGAGACACACCUGGGAGAGGAGGACUGGGGUAGGGACGGGGAGACAGAUGGUUUAAUCAGAGGAUCGGAGGAGGGCUUCAGAGCGGACUCUCCUCUUGUGCUGGCUAUACCUGUUACAGUCAUUCCUGAGGAUGACUCAUUUAGGCAGAGCUCCACUGACAGACCAGCCACCCCCACAGAGAGUACUCCAUCAGGUGGCAGCCUGCCAGAAUUCGCACCCACCCAGGAGCCUCACACAGCCUCUGCACAGCCAGGGAGCACCAGCGCUGGCACUGACUCAAAAGUAAAGUCUAUUACAGACACAUCUCCAGGAGAGGUCCGUGUCACACGCAAGACUGUGAGCCUGCCUUCAAAGCACCACUUUUUCGCCCACAAGGUGAACAUUAGCUCAGAGAGCAGCUCUGACGAGACCAAAACUACUGAAGAGGAGCACAGCACAAGUUUAAAGGCUGAGGACAAAGGCAAGGC
ensembl:lncRNA